rnacentral:rRNA from 1 species
UACGGAGGGUGCGAGCGUUUGUCCGGAAUCACUGGGCGUAAAGGGCGCGUAGGCGGCGCGGAUAGUCGGCGGUGAAAGCCCGGAGCUCAACUCCGGGUCGGCCGUCGAUACUUCCGGGCUUGAGCACUGUAGAGGCAGAUGGAAUUCCGGGUGUAGCGGUGGAAUGCGUAGAGAUCCGGAAGAACACCGGUGGCGAAGGCGGUCUGCUGGGGCA